rnacentral:rRNA from 1 species
GACGAACGCUGGCGGCGUGCUUAACACAUGCAAGUCGAACGGAAAGGCCCUUCUUUUGUGGUGUUCUCGAGUGGCGAACGUGUGUGUCACACGUGUGUCACCUGCCCUUGACUUUGGUAUCACUUCAGGACACUGGGUCUUAUACCGGAUAGGCGCUCCUUCUGCAUGGUGGGUUUUGGAAAGUUUCGGCGGUUGGGGAUGGACUCGCGUCUUAUCCGCUUGUUGGUGGGGUAGUGGCUUACCAAGGCUUUGACGGGUAGCCGGCCUGAGAGGGUGACCGGCCAAAUUGGGACUGAGAUACGGCCAAGACUCCAAGGGGAGGAAGAAGUGGGGAAUAUUGCAAAAUGGGCGGAAGCCGGAGGCAGCAACGCCGCGUGCGGGAUAACGGCCUUCGGGUUGUAAACCGCUUUCGCCUGUGACGAAGCGUGAGUGACGGUAAUGGGUAAAGAAGCACCGGCUAACUACGUG